AUGGUCGCGGAGACAACUUUCAAGUUCCUGAUAUAUGACCAGUUAUAUGGGAAGCACCAUGAACAGCAUCAAGUGAGCCACGAUUUUCAGGCUACAAGCAAAUUCUCUGGGACCUCAUGCAUGAUCCCCCUCACGACGCUUAAGGAGCAAUCCUCUGGAUUCCUCGUCAAAGACAGCUGUGUUUUCGGUGUCCAGUUCAUCAAAAUUGUCGCUGUUAAAGGUAACGAUGCGUUGGAGACGCUGUUUGUUCAGAAGACUAGCAACAUCAGCAGCAAUGGCCCACAAGCCUACACCUGGAACAUUGAUGAUUUCUUUGUGUUGAAGAACCCGAGCACCUCUCCAGAGUUUCAGCUCUGA
rnacentral:rRNA from 1 species